UACGUAGGGGGCUAGCGUUGUCCGGAAUCAUUGGGCGUAAAGGGUGCGUAGGCGGCGCGGUAAGUCGGGUGUGAAAUCUCCGAGCUUAACUCGGAACGGUCAACUGAUACUGUGCGGCUAGAGUGCGGAAGGGGCAACUGGAAUUCUUGGUGUAGCAGUGAAAUGCGUAGAGAUCAUGAGGAGGACCAAUGGCGAAGGCGGGUCUCUGGACAGUUCCUGACACUGAGACACGAAGGCCAGGGGAGCAAACGGG
rnacentral:rRNA from 1 species